rnacentral:rRNA from 1 species
UUAAGUUAUUAAGGGCGCACGGUGGAUGCCUUGGCACUAGAAGCCGAUGAAGGACGUUACUAACGACGAUAUGCUUUGGGGAGCUGUAAGUAAGCUUUGAUCCAGAGAUUUCCGAAUGGGGAAACCCAGCAUGAGUUAUGUCAUGUUAUCGAUAUGUGAAUACAUAGCAUAUCAGAAGGCACACCCGGAGAACUGAAACAUCUUAGUACCCGGAGGAAGAGAAAGAAAAUUCGAUUCCCUUAGUAGCGGCGAGCGAAACGGGAAGAGCCCAAACCAAAAAGCUUGCUUGUUGGGGUUGUAGGACACUCUAUACGGAGUUACAAAGGACGACAUUAGACGAAUCAUCUGGAAAGAUGAAUCAAAGAAGGUAAUAAUCCUGUAGUCGAAAAUGUUGUCUCUCUUGAGUGGAUCCUGAGUACGACGGAGCACGUGAAAUUCCGUCGGAAUCUGGGAGGACCAUCUCCUAAGGCUAAAUACUCUCUAGUGACCGAUAGUGAACCAGUACCGUGAGGGAAAGGUGAAAAGCACCCCGGAAGGAGAGUGAAAUAGAACCUGAAACCGUGUGCUUACAAGUAGUCAGAGCCCGUUAAUGGGUGAUGGCGUGCCUUUUGUAGAAUGAACCGGCGAGUUACGAUUUGAUGCAAGGUUAAGCAGUAAAUGUGGAGCCGUAGCGAAAGCGAGUCUGAAUAGGGCGUUUAGUAUUUGGUCGUAGACCCGAAACCAGGUGAUCUACCCUUGGUCAGGUUGAAGUUCAGGUAACACUGAAUGGAGGACCGAACCGACUUACGUUGAAAAGUGAGCGGAUGAACUGAGGGUAGCGGAGAAAUUCCAAUCGAACCUGGAGAUAGCUGGUUCUCUCCGAAAUAGCUUUAGGGCUAGCCUCAAGUGAUGAUUAUUGGAGGUAGAGCACUGUUUGGACGAGGGGCCCCUCUCGGGUUACCGAAUUCAGACAAACUCCGAAUGCCAAUUAAUUUAACUUGGGAGUCAGAACAUGGGUGAUAAGGUCCGUGUUCGAAAGGGAAACAGCCCAGACCACCAGCUAAGGUCCCAAAAUAUAUGUUAAGUGGAAAAGGAUGUGGCGUUGCCCAGACAACUAGGAUGUUGGCUUAGAAGCAGCCAUCAUUUAAAGAGUGCGUAAUAGCUCACUAGUCGAGUGACACUGCGCCGAAAAUGUACCGGGGCUAAACAUAUUACCGAAGCUGUGGAUUGUCCUUUGGACAAUGGUAGGAGAGCGUUCUAAGGGCGUUGAAGCAUGAUCGUAAGGACAUGUGGAGCGCUUAGAAGUGAGAAUGCCGGUGUGAGUAGCGAAAGACGGGUGAGAAUCCCGUCCACCGAUUGACUAAGGUUUCCAGAGGAAGGCUCGUCCGCUCUGGGUUAGUCGGGUCCUAAGCUGAGGCCGACAGGCGUAGGCGAUGGAUAACAGGUUGAUAUUCCUGUACCACCUAUAAUCGUUUUAAUCGAUGGGGGGACGCAGUAGGAUAGGCGAAGCGUGCGAUUGGAUUGCACGUCUAAGCAGUAAGGCUGAGUAUUAGGCAAAUCCGGUACUCGUUAAGGCUGAGCUGUGAUGGGGAGAAGACAUUGAGUCUUCGAGUCGUUGAUUUCACACUGCCGAGAAAAGCCUCUAGAUAGAAAAUAGGUGCCCGUACCGCAAACCGACACAGGUAGUCAAGAUGAGAAUUCUAAGGUGAGCGAGCGAACUCUCGUUAAGGAACUCGGCAAAAUGACCCCGUAACUUCGGGAGAAGGGGUGCUCUUUAGGGUUAACGCCCAGAAGAGCCGCAGUGAAUAGGCCCAAGCGACUGUUUAUCAAAAACACAGGUCUCUGCUAAACCGUAAGGUGAUGUAUAGGGGCUGACGCCUGCCCGGUGCUGGAAGGUUAAGAGGAGUGGUUAGCUUCUGCGAAGCUACGAAUCGAAGCCCCAGUAAACGGCGGCCGUAACUAUAACGGUCCUAAGGUAGCGAAAUUCCUUGUCGGGUAAGUUCCGACCCGCACGAAAGGCGUAACGAUUUGGGCACUGUCUCAACGAGAGACUCGGUGAAAUCAUAGUACCUGUGAAGAUGCAGGUUACCCGCGACAGGACGGAAAGACCCCGUGGAGCUUUACUGUAGCCUGAUAUUGAAAUUCGGCACAGCUUGUACAGGAUAGGUAGGAGCCUUUGAAACGUGAGCGCUAGCUUACGUGGAGGCGCUGGUGGGAUACUACCCUAGCUGUGUUGGCUUUCUAACCCGCACCACUUAUCGUGGUGGGAGACAGUGUCAGGCGGGCAGUUUGACUGGGGCGGUCGCCUCCUAAAAGGUAACGGAGGCGCUCAAAGGUUCCCUCAGAAUGGUUGGAAAUCAUUCAUAGAGUGUAAAGGCAUAAGGGAGCUUGACUGCGAGACCUACAAGUCGAGCAGGGUCGAAAGACGGACUUAGUGAUCCGGUGGUUCCGCAUGAAAGGGCCAUCGCUCAACGGAUAAAAGCUACCCCGGGGAUAACAGGCUUAUCUCCCCCAAGAGUUCACAUCGACGGGGAGGUUUGGCACCUCGAUGUCGGCUCAUCGCAUCCUGGGGCUGUAGUCGGUCCCAAGGGUUGGGCUGUUCGCCCAUUAAAGCGGUACGCGAGCUGGGUUCAGAACGUCGUGAGACAGUUCGGUCCCUAUCCGUCGUGGGCGUAGGAAAUUUGAGAGGAGCUGUCCUUAGUACGAGAGGACCGGGAUGGACAUACCUCUGGUGUACCAGUUGUCGUGCCAACGGCAUAGCUGGGUAGCUAUGUGUGGACGGGAUAAGUGCUGAAAGCAUCUAAGCAUGAAGCCCCCCUCAAGAUGAGAUUUCCCAACUUCGGUUAUAAGAUCCCUCAAAGAUGAUGAGGUUAAUAGGUUCGAGGUGGAAGCAUGGUGACAUGUGGAGCUGACGAAUACUAAUCGAUCGAAGACUUAAUCAA